GCCGGGCGCGGUGGCGCGCGCCUGUAGUCCCAGCUACUCGGGAGGCUGAGGCAGGAAGAUCGCUUGAGCCCAGGAGUUCUGGGCUGUAGUGCGCUAUGCCGAUCGGGUGUCCGCACUAAGUUCGGCAUCAAUAUGGUGACCUCCCGGGAGCGGGGGACCACCAGGUUGCCUAAGGAGGGGUGAACCGGCCCAGGUCGGAAACGGAGCAGGUCAAAACUCCCGUGCUGAUCAGAAUUGUGAGCCACUAAAUAAUUGUUCUUUCCAGUCUUUAAAAAAUAUAUAUUAU
ensembl:misc_RNA Metazoa_SRP Metazoan signal recognition particle RNA